CAGAAACAUUUCAUAGUACUAUAUUAUGUCUAAAUAUGUGAAAAGAAUCAAAUUGGAGUAGGUCGGGAAACUGAUUAUAUGAGUUUGUUAGAAAAACCACUUUCCUUUGCUCCUAGCGCCUUCUCGUUCGCUGUAUAGCGUUUUGAGCGGAUAAAGAGCACAAGUGUGUAUGGGUACACAGGAUGAAUGGGAACUAGUUUUGUUAUUGUACUUUUGAUGAAAAGUGACUUUCUAGACAUAAAAUGUCACUUUUU
ensembl:lncRNA